CUUUAAGUAAAGUUAAACUAUGAUCAACACUUUAGAGGAAAAUGACUUCUCCAUUACUAGAAGAGGAAUCAGUGAUGUAGAUGAAUUCAAAAGUAAGGUUCAUGACAAAUUCAUCAUUGCCUUAUCAGACAACAUAAAAACAGAUUUCCAGAUGCAGGACUCAUAUCAACUUUCUCUUGUUUUGAUCCCUCUGCAAUGAAAAACAUAGACACAUAUAACCUAGACUUUUAUGCAGAGGAAAAGAUUCGGACACUUGCAGCUCAUUUCAGCCCAAUGACGGAUGAAGAAACUGUAUUCCACGAGUUCCAUUCUUUUGAGAUGGUCAUACAUAAAAAUAAAGACAACACAACACAACUCAUUCUUCAAAUUCUAAUGACCAAAUACAGGCAGUUGUACCCUAAUCUUGCCAGACUAGCAGAGAUUUGUAUGCUAAUUCCAGCUUCUA